ACGAAUGGAAAAAAUCAAUUAGCCAUUUAUUAUUUCAAUUUGAACAUACAUAAUCAACCUCAAUAUGAGUUUAUUUUCUUCCUCACAGAUACAAAAUCUGAUGAGUUUGAGUGUUACAAAAUAAUAAAAUCAUCAAACAUAUUAUAUAGUCACACUACGCAAAACAACAGUUUCAAUGGUAAGUCCAGGUCCAAAACCGAAUAGCACACCCCAUGGGUCCAAAACCGAAUAACACACCCCAUUCGAGUCCUUCACCCGUGGUGUUGAGUCCACCUUGAGCUGAUUUCUUUCUCAUUUCAUCUAGGAUGAAUAGGACACAUGCACUAGACAUGUUACCAUAUUCACUUAGCACUUCUCUAGUGGCCCUCAUCUUUUCAGGUUUCAAGGCCAACUUCUGCUCAACCUGGUCAAGAAUUGCUGGGCCGCCUGGGUGUGCAAUCCAAAAUAUUGAGUUGUAAUCAGAUAUGCUUAGCGGUUGGAAGGCCUCGAUUAGUGCUUUCUCAAUGUUCUUUGAAACAAUCCCGGGAACAUCUUUAAGGAGAUGAAAGGUCAAUCCAACUUCACGGAGAUGACCAUCAAUGGCUCCUUCACUAUCUGGAGCAAUAGUUUGCGCAGUCCAUACUAGCUCGAACAAAGGUUUCUCAAUUUCAGGCAAUGGAUCAGAACCAACAAUGAGUGCAGCUGCUCCAUCUCCAAACAAUGCUUGCCCAACAGGGCUGUCUAGGUGAGUGUCACUAGGGCCACGAAAGGUAACUGCAGUGAGUUCAGAACAAACAUCUAGCACACGAGCACCUUUGUUGUUCUCAGCCAAGUCUUUGGCCAAACGAAGCACCGUGCCACCUGCAAAGCACCCUUGUUCCUUUUCACAUAAGGGCGAAGACCUAAGAGUUUGGUGAGUUGAUAAUCAGCACCGGGCAUGUCCACACCACUUGCGGUGCAAAAUAUUAAGUGGGUAAUCUUGGACUUAGGUUGACCCCAUUCUUUAAUAGCCUUUACUGCUGCUUCUUUACCCAGUCUAGGUACUUCUACAACCACCAUGUCUUGCCUAGCAUCCAGAGAAGGUGCCAUAUAAGCGCACAUGUUAGGGUUCUCUUUCAAAAGAUCUUCAGUUAAGUGCAUGUAUCUCUUCUUGAUCAUAGACUUGUCACCUGAAAUCAAUUAUAGAGAAACAACAUUAGUACAAUAAAAUCAACAUAGUAGUAGAAUCAAUCUGAUAAUUAAUGACUAGUCUGUCAAACAAUAUAAAUAUAUGUUAGAAUAUAGAAAAAACUGGAGAGACCAAGAGAAGAAUGCUUACACAUGCGUUGAAAUUUCUCCUUGAGCUCAGUUUUGUGCUGACUGUUGGUGACUCUGAAGUAGAAAUCAGGGUAAGUGCUUUGAUCAACACAGUUGGGAGGAUUAGCAGUGCCAAUAGCAAAGAUGGUUGCUGGGCCUUCAGCCCUCUGAGCCUUACGAAUCUCAGCUACACUCACCAUAUUUGAAAUGAAGUUUGUUGGGAAAGAUAUAAAUUUGGAAAGCAAAUGAAGAAGCAAUGGAAGUUGGUGUUAGAGAAGGUUGAGUGGGGAGAUAGGAAUUUAUAUGCGGAGUGAUUGAAGUGGUAGCUGAAGUUCACGAACAUUUUUUAUUCCACGAUUUCUUUGUUUCCUUGUCUGGUCAAUGGCUGGCGUGCGCGGUCUAUGACCUUAAGAUUACCAAGUUAGGUGGAAAAUACCGGAGGAUCGAUGGCUUUCAAUUUCAAGUAUUAAGACCCACCCACUCUUAUGAAGAUAAAUUAUGUUAAGAUCAAAACUAAACAUUUAUGUAUUACGAUAAUAUACAAAUAAAUUAGGUAAAUUCUGUGGUACCCUCAAUUUUUUUGGGUAUGGUACCCCCAUUAAAUAAUUCUAUAGAUUAUUAUCAUGUUAUUCAAGGUAAUACUACAUCUUUAGAUUUCACUUUAUUUGUCAAUUAACUUUAUCUCAUGAAAUUAAUUUUUUGAUGAAAAAUGUACGAGUGGUGGAGUUGAUGGAUGCACAAAGCUCAGAAAACACAAUUUUCAAAUCUCAAGUGCCUAAGAAUGGAACGCUGCAUUACUACAAUAGAACACAAGCAAAAUUUUAACCGAUACAUGAGCCUUUAUUGUUAAACCGACUCAUUUUGAGUACCACACCUUAGACUGGCUUAAGGUAUCACAGUAAGCCCCAAGAAAUUAAGCAAACAUAAUAAAAACACCGGUGACUAUACUUUAUACUUGUUUGAGUUCAAAGAAAUCACUGUAGUUGUUAUUAUUAAACUAGCAAGGGCCAAAGGAAAUGUACAUGUUUUUUUUAAAUAGCGUAAAAAAUAAAAAAAUUACUUUAAAAACAAUUUACAAACAUGAGAUAGUUGUGGAGUGAAACUGGUUCUUUCCGACGGAAAAUUAAAUCCGUCACAAAAUAUUUGACUGAAGAACUGAAAUAUUCAGUAAGAAGAGAGAAUUAGCGACGGAAAAUUAAAUCUGUCACUAAAUACAACUUUUCCGUGUAAAACGCUUCUGUGUCUACUUGGGACGGAUUUUUACCCUCACAAAAUUCCGUCGCUAAAUCUUAUUUUCUUAUCAUGUUCCGUAAGUUUAGCGAGGGAAAUGAAUCCGUCUCGAUUUAGCGACGGAAUAGCUUUAAUGGUCAUGCUGUCAUUUUAACCAUCUGUGCCGGUUUUUGCGACGGAAUAUUUCCUUGUAAAAUAUUUCGUCGCUAAUUAGACAGUUUAAGUCAGCUUUUUGUGACAGAUUUAUUUUCCGUCGCAAAUUACCAAUAAAGUAAAUUAUGCUUCUUGUAAAUCUCCAGUAAUAGAGGUGAACCAAAUAAUAUGCUUGCCCCACUUGUAAAUCAAGUUUCUGAUCUAUAGCUCAUGCAAGUUUAAUAUAAGAAGUAACUUCAACCCAGGCAAUUAACAGUAAAAUCUAAGCUUUCAAUUUGAGGAAACUAAGCAAGCCUAACUAACCCAUUCUGAGAAAGCGGAUCCGAGCCAACACUUCAGACUCAAUCUGCCUUGGUGUAGCUGUUAUCACCUACUUAAUUUAUUAGAAAGACUAGCUAACAUCUCCAGUAGAAAAAUAUGUAUGAAAAAAAUGAAAAAUGGAGUAACUCAAAGAUCAAGAAUUGAUGAGCACUCUUGUUUUGAAGCUAUCAGAAGUUUGACUGUUGUUUCUCCAAGCUAAAUCUGCAUUAGAAGGGAAAAACAUAUUAUGAUAGACUCUUGGAGGUUUCUACUAACUAUAGGUGGGUAGAAGCACUGAUAAACAAACCUGAUAGUUAUUUGGGCCAUCAUGAACCAGUCCAAGCAUCACCAGUGUAUGGUCUAGCACAAUCAUUUGGGCAGCCAAUUACCCUUUUAAGUUAUAAACACAGACUCUUAUACUUCAAACCAACCUAAAUUGCAAAGUGAGAAUUAAAAAGUGUCCUGAUUAGUGAUCUCCACCAAAUCAAUAUUGUAAUUUAUGUCAAUACUGACUUUCAUCUGAAACAAUAAACAUCACAAAUCCGCUCAACAAUUUCUUUAAUGACUUGCGCUCAGCAUGUAUCACCGUGUUUGAUAUCCAGUUAAUGAAUGAGCUAUCCUGUUUAGCAUAGGAUUUGGAACCAGAUUAUCAGAAGUUUCUUCAACGUGCUUUUUAUUCCCUCUUUUACUCCCAAGCAUCAACUGUCAUUGAAAGUUAGGUCUCUUCUUACUUUGGGAAAAACUCAGUACUGUUAUAGAUUUCAACACUUGACUGGCUGUCACUCUCCUCCAUUUACAUCACCGUCUGAUAAGGACUUUUCCUUGCCCUUGUUUCUUGACAUAUAAAUUCAGCUAUUACAAGGAGAAUGCAUAACUGGAAAUUUUUUAACACAUAGUAGCAUGAUUUUACUGUCCAGGAAUUUGUUUUUAAUCUCAUUGACUGGAUUCUUAUCCCUGCAAGACUAAGAGACACAAAAGGUACUGAGGCAAGGAUUAGAAGGGGUUAGCCUCUCUUGGUGCUAUAGGAGCCUUUAUGGAUAACUGUUCAAUAAGUCUAAGACCAGCAACCUAACAUGCUAACUGUGAUAUUGAAGGAUGUAAAAAAUAAUCAACAUGUCAAACAUGCACUUGACAAUAAAAUAAGGGUCACAUGUUUUCCAAACAAUGAUACAUAAACAUAUAUUCAGUUUUGAAACAAAUGAAAAAAAGCAAUUAGCCAUUCAUUAUUUUGAUUUGAACAUACAUAACCAAACUCAAUAUGAGUUUAUUUUCUUCCUCACAGAUACAAAAUCUGAUGAGUUUGAGUGUUACAAAAUAAUAAAAUCAUCAAACAUAUUAUAUAGUCACACUACGCAAAACAACAGUUUCAAUGGUAAGUCCAGGUCCAAAACCGAAUAACACACCCCAUUCAAGUCCUUCCCCAGUGGUUUUG
rnacentral:lncRNA from 1 species